rnacentral:tRNA from 1 species
UGGGGUGUGGCUCAGCAGUAGAGCGCUUGCCUAGCAUGUGCAAGGCCCUGGGUUCAAUCCUUAGCACCACAU